CAGCAGCCGCGGUAAUACAGAGGAUGCAAGCGCUAUCCGGAAUGAUUGGGCGUAAAGCGUCUGUAGGUGGCUUUUCAAGUCCGUCGUCAAAUCCCAGUGCUCAACCCUGGACAGGCGGUGGAAACUACCAAGCUGGAGUACGGUAGGGGCAGAGGGAAUUUCCAGUGGAGUGGUGAAAUGCGUUGAUAUCGGAAAGAACACCACGACGAAAGCACUCUGCUGGGCCGACACUGACACUGAGAAACGAAAGCUAGGGGAGAAAAUGGGAUUAGAUACCCCCGUAGUCCCUGUCUCUUAUACA
rnacentral:rRNA from 1 species